GGCAUUACAGUGCUUACAAUAAAUGGAUGUUGGUAAUAAAUAAGCAGUAGAUGGCACAUUCAAUCCAUGAAGAGUUCCUUCUAAUUCAAAAUUAGAAAUAUUAUGUAUUUUUUUAUUUGAAGUAGAAGCAUGAGAAUCGUGCUGUAUUAUAGAUUUAUAGAUUCAUGCAAUUGGGCACCAACAGAAGAAUUAUUUCCCAAAAUCAUAGGCUCAUUUAUCUUUUUACGCUGAUCAAUACACCCAAUUCUAAGUCUUUUUCGCCGAUCUCUUUCUCUUUGACUUUGUUGUCGGGGAAUGGAGGUGUUAUAUGAGUCCUUCCAACUAUGAGAUAUAGUUUCAAUGUUAACAAACAAAGGUCUUCGUGAGCAUUGUUUCUGAAAUAUCCAUAGUAAGAGUGGAAGAGACUAUCAAAUAUUGAAAUUCCAAGGUAAGCAGUACAAAUUAAGAAAAUGAAACAAAAACUAUUAGAAAAUUUGUUUGAUAUACAUGCAGGAAGAGUAAACUACAGAAUACGAGAAAUGAGUUAAAAGAAACUAUUAUAGACAUGUAACAGUGCAAAUGGUGUAAAAAUUGCACUCUCUGAAAAUACAUCUUGUAGAAUAAAAUUUGAACAAGAAGAUUGACGACAUUAAGGUCAUGUUGGAAAAAAUCUUAACAUCAGACUUAUGAUGCAUUUAUAGAAAUAAACGAAGUAAAUUAUGGAGAUGAAUAAAUAUUUGUAUUCAUGUCAACAUGCACAAGCAGAACUUCAAUGGAAAAAAAAACGAAAUAGAAAAACACGGAACAACUAACAAGAAGAGAGAUUAAAUUUACGUAUAAAAUAUGGAAAACAUAGUUGAAUCCAAAGGAUUGCAUUGCUUGGAAAUUAUAACCUUCCAUUUCAAAGUUAUGGUAUUACAGUGUGAAAUUUCAGUGAAGGUUUAUUUUUAGAACAAGGUUCUUAUCGAACUCCCUAAAAAUACUCAGUCGCUACGCUUUACCUUUCAUUUUUUCCGCUUUAAUAAGCAACAAAGACAACAUUCAUAACAGACCAAACUUGAAGACUAUCAACUGUCAGUAUGUAUCCAACUCAAACAUGAAGGCUUUUCAUGGGUGAUUGCACUACUUACUGAUUAAGCAAAAGGCAUAUGCUUCUCCUUAUCCCUUUGCACUAUGCAUCAAAACUAGCAAGAAUAUAACCAUUAAUACAGAUCUGUUCACUUGGGGUAUUCUUCAAGAUAUUCUAGCCAGUUAAGGUCAUAAUUUUUCCAUAUGACGUCUCCAUCCCAGAUGAAUGGUAGAAACCUCACUUUGUGAACAAUAGUGUAAACAUGAGUCCAGGAAAAUGAACAGGAAAUUAUGGAUUGUCUCUUUUUAUUAAAUGCAAAUAUAAUAUAAUAAAGCUAACAACAUACCUAAACUAAUCGACAGAAAAAAAGAAGAUACACAGCAUAACAAUUACUUAAGGGGUCUUCUAGCAAACUCACAUUUUGUAUAGUCUUUCUUAAAAACAACAGAUAAGCUGCCCAAUAACAGGGUAAAAGGUUUCUUUAAAUAAAAUGGAGCUAUAAGCAUAGGCCACUCACUAUGAUAAUACUAGCAGAAGUCAUUGGUUAACAUGAUAGUAGGUAGAGAGGACAGACAUGAUAACAUUUAUGGAAUAUUUGGAGAUGAACUAAAAGUAUUCUAAUCAAUAAUUCUUUCACUAUCACCAUGCACAUUAGCAGCAUCCAAAGAAGACUUUAUCCACUUCCAGUAACAAAUAGAAGAAUAAAAAAAUCAUUUAGUAAGAACCAUAAAAAAUAUAAUGCUCUAAAAGCAAGCCACAAUAUAACAGUUCCAGCAAGUGCCAGCGAAAUGUAAAGGCAGAACGUAGCAAUUAUCAUGAAAUAAGUUUGGGCUUUUUUUAAAAUGAACUAAAUAAAAAAAAGUUCAGGCCGGUUUGAAGGAGGAAUUCGCCCAUAAUGCAUCACUUAUUAUCUUUUCUAAAAUAUUGAAAACCAAGAAAGAUAAAUUGAAGGAAAAAUGAAGCUUCUUAGCUGCAUAAAGAUAAAUUGUUGAAAACCAAGAGUACAAACGCCAAUAGGAGUAUAAGACAUCCCAGUUGAGUCAAAAGAUCUCCAAAAAUACUGACAAGAACCUGUUGUUCUCCUCGUGAAAACAUUUUAAGCAGAAAUCGAGCAGACACGCGUUGAGCAAAAAUAAAAACUUCCAAAGUAAAUCAUGGUAACUUAAGAGUAAUCCAACAGAUUUUUCACAUAUCAGACAGCAAAGAGAAAAAGUAAUUUAAGUAAAACUGAACAAACGAAGAAAAAAUCCACAAAAGAGCAAAAUUGUAACAAAAUUUGAAGUUUCACACGUAGAUCCAGCUAAACUAAGGAAAAAGCAGCGAAAACCAAAGAGGACGUGCUGUAGAACGAGAGACAGAGCCUGAGAGAGACAAACAGACGCAGGAGGAAAUGAUCGUGAAAGAGUCUGGUGGAAAAGUCGAGAUGAUUUCUACCAAGUAAUAUUUUUAUGGGGAUUUUGUUCAAGAAGCC
rnacentral:lncRNA from 1 species